GCCAGGCGUGGUGGUGCACGCCUGUAAUCCCAGCUACUUGGGAGGCUGAGGUGGGAGAAUCAUUUGAACCCAGGAGGCGGAGGCUGCAGUGAGCCAAGAUCGCCCCACCGCACUCCAGCCUGGGUGACAGAGCGAGACUCCAUCUCAA
rfam:Gorilla gorilla gorilla genomic chromosome, chr1, whole genome shotgun sequence